AUCAGAGAUGGUUUGAGGAGGUUGUGGAUAUCUCCUGGAGAUGCUGGGGUUAGUGAGGGUUUAGGAAUUCCAUAUACUUAUAUGAAUUUAAAAACAUUUAAAUUUAUCUUAGAGGAGUCGUAAUAUGAAGGAAGUCUUGCUUGCCAUGUGGAGAGCCAGAGAAAGUGACAAGUUCUCUUCUCACGUGAAGCCUGGGACUGUGCUGCCCUGGUGCCUCCUCCCAGCAGAGGGUUUGUCAUGGCAGUGGCAAAGAAGCAGAUGGAGGCAGCAGAAGCCCCAGCAUCAGCACCAGCCACAUGAGCAGGCUGGAGGGAGGAUGCUUCCUUGUUGAUAAAUACCAUGUACAGUGUUCUAUCUGCAUGAAAAUGUCUGUAGUUUUCUGUGCAGAACCAAGGGGAUUCCAAACUCUCUGCCCAGAUUGGCAAAGCACACUCAGCUCUGUGGAUGGCCUGAGAUGCUCAUAUGCUAUGGCAUACUUUUGGAUUUCUUUUUGAUUAAUAUCAUGCUUCAGUACACCCAUCUGUCUGUGUGCUGGGUGCAAGUUUCAAAGGAAGAUAUGUGAUACACAAUCAAUUAAAAAUGCAGGUAAAAUUUAGGACUUCAGCAGAUUUCAGUAAAUUUUGGAAAGUGAGGUGUUGCCAGAUUGAAAUGCUCAACAGACUCAUGCAGUUUUCCAAGUAAAUGAAACCCAUUUCAUGAAUGCAAUUAAUACAAACCUGGGAGGCUGAAUGAAUAAUGCUUCCAGCCCUCCUUGUUCAAAGAGAUCAGGAAAACACAAGAGAGAGGCAAAAAGCAUUCUGGUGUCAUAACAGCCUGGGAUGGAGUUGUGAGAUAACUGCAAUGAUUUCCCAGAGACUACACAAAUAAUUUCAAAGUAGUUUGGCAGGUCUGCAGUUUGCAGAGCAAAAGCUAUGUCUGUAUUUUACC